rnacentral:rRNA from 1 species
UGAGGGAAAGUUGCAAAGAACUUUGAAGAGAGAGUUAAACAGUACGUGAAACCGAAUAAGUGGAAGCGAGUAGAGUUAUCGUAAGGUAGCUGUAAUAAGCCGUUUGGUAAUUCCGUUGCGUUGUAUUAUGUCUCGUCAACGAGCAUGGUGCGAUGUAUUUGGGGUGCCAAUGGUGCACUUGCAGUUACUGCGCUGGCUGCCUUGAGGCGGUGGCAAGAAGUUUAUGUCGGGGGUAACGCUUGCGUUAUGCACUGCAUGAAUGGACGGCUGUCUGUUUUAAGGUUCUGCUUAGCCAAAGGUAGAUUUGUCUAUACGAUGGAUUUGUUUAUCGUUUGUCGCAUGCGAUAGCGGUACUCGAGUCUAUGGUGUGGGCACGUUGAAAAUUGGCGAGGCCAGUGUAAAAGAUAAUCACCUAUUCGUCCCGUCUUGAAACACGGACCAAGGAGUGUACCGUAUGCGCGAGUCAUUGAGUGAAAAACUCAAAGGCGUAACGAGAGUGAAUGCACUUUCCGAGUGCUGAUAUGCGAUUGGUGGCGUUACGAUGUCGCCAAGCAGCAUAGCCCUGUCUCGAUUGCUUGCAAUGGGGCGGAGGUAGAGCGUAUGCGGUGUGACCCGAAAGAUGGUGAACUAUGCCUGAGCAGGAUGAAGCCGGAGGAAACUCUGGUGGAAGUCCGAAGCGGUUCUGACGUGCAAAUCGAUCGU